rnacentral:rRNA from 1 species
UACGUAGGGUGCGAGCGUUGUCCGGAAUCAUUGGGCGUAAAGCGCGCGUAGGCGGCCCUGUAAGUCCGCUGUGAAAGUCGAAGGCUCAACCUUCGAAAGCCGGUGGAUACUGCGGGGCUAGAGUCCGGAAGAGGCGAGUGGAAUUCCUGGUGUAGCGGUGGAAUGCGCAGAUAUCAGGAGGAACACCAAUAGCGAAGGCAGCUCGCUGGGACGGUACUGACGCUAAGGCGCGAAAGCGUGGGGAGCGAACAGG